GUGCUCGCUUCGGCAGCACAUAUACUAAAAUUGGAACGAUACAGAGAAGAUUAGCAUGGCCCCCUUUUAAGACAAAUCAAAGUACGGAGAAGAUUAUUCUCUC